GACGAACGCUGGCGGCGUGCCUAACACAUGCAAGUCGAACGGGGUAAGGCCCUUCGGGGUUUUACCUAGUGGCGGACGGGUGAGUAACGCGUGAAGAACCUGACUUUAAGAGGGGGAUAACAUCGGGAAACCGAUGCCAAUACCGCAUAAGACCACGUUCUCGCCUGGGAAUGGGGUAAAAGGAGCAAUUCACUUAGAGAGGGCUUCGCGUUCCAUUAGAUAGUAGGCGGGGUAACGGCCCACCUAGUCAUUGAUGGAUAGCCGGACUGAGAGGUUGAACGGCCACACUGGGACUGAGACACGGCCCAGACUCCUACGGGGGGCAGCAGUGGGGAAUAUUGGGCAAUGGGGGCAACCCUGACCCAGCAACGCCGCGUAAAGGAAGAAGGUUUUCGGAUCGUAUACUUUUGUCCCAUGGGAAGAAACAAAUGACGGUACCAUGGGAGGAAGCCCCGGCUAACUACGUGCCAGCAGCCGCCGUAAUAC
rnacentral:rRNA from 1 species